rnacentral:lncRNA from 1 species
UGGGUUACUAAUCUGGCAAACAAUCCAAACACUCAGACUGAAUUUAUCACAUCGUUAUCAUUUUUUUUCUUUUUUUUUCUUUUUCAGGCUACAAACAACGUCAAAAUAACCAUUCCGGGUAAUAAGACAGCUCCAUCAUAUCAACUUGCUGCAUAAUUCUCUUCUGUCAGACUGGCUUCCUAGGCUCGGAUUUUCCUUGCCUGCCUCUCCGCCAGAUUAAAAGACCCUUGCAAGCUACACAAGUGAAGUCUACAGGCAGUGAAAUCCCAUGACCUCUAGGAUUGUGUUUACUGGAGAGAACGGAGGGAAAUAUGCAGAACAGAGUGGUGAUGGGACCAUGGUUUUACGCAGCCACGUAUCUCUACGUGGAAGGAGUUAGGAGGAGGUGGGUCCUUUGUGUUUGCUCUCAGACCUUGGGAAAGAAGCCUGGGAGCUUCACAUCCCUCCAUGUGAGGGGGAGAUGGGAAACACUCAGUGCAGACCACUCUGUCUUAGGGCUUUCCCAUCUCACUGAUUUUAUUUGUGUUUUGGGAUAACUCAAGAAUUGCCAUGGCGUGCUUACAGAACCCCAGUUGUGCUGGGAAGCUCAGGCAGGCUCAGGGCAGGCAGUUUGCUUUGGCAGGUGCGGUGUGAGUGCAUGGAGUGAGGGCUGACCACCGCCUUCGCUCUGCGCUGACGGGUUGGCCAUUUUCCUUGGGUGGUGGCCAGCCCUUCCUGCUAGAUUCAUGUUACAGAACUGCAUUUGCACUCUUCUCCAUCAUCCCAGGCAUCCAGAUGUACGACAGACGCACACACAUGCACUGCACUGCGGAUGCUGUGUUUUGGCUGCAGCUGAGAUAAAUCACAGUUCAAAGGAGCUCACGCAGCAGCAGCUGGGAUAUCCGAGCCAGCAGCAGAAGGCAAUAUGUGCUUCCAACCCACCCCUCGCUCCUCUAAAAACCCACAGACAGGAGUGGAAAGACCACCACCAGUGGGUCUCAGCCCUGGGUGUGCAGAAGAUAACUCCCUGCCCUCAGUUUGAGAAACCAUCAUUGUUUCCUUAUGCCCAAGGGACGACUUCUUUAAAGCAAUAG